CGGGAUGUGGCGCAGCUUGGUAGCGCGCCUGCUUUGGGAGCAGGAAGUCGCAGGUUCAAAUCCUGUCAUCCCGACCA
rnacentral:tRNA from 1 species